UGACUUUAGAAUUACACCUAUUGAGGCCUUUUGGAGUGAGUUUGCCAACAUAUGCUAUUCUUCAGGUCAUUUUAUAGCCCUCGUCUAGUUUAUUGAUCUUUUCCCUCUCAGUAUUGAUGAGUAGAGUUUUCCUUCUUGUCUGCAUUUCUUCCAUUGUGAAGUUAAUUUUUCUCAGUUUAAUGUUUCUGAAAUUGGGAUUGUAUGUGACGACCCAGGGACACCCGUGGUAACCCCCCGACCUGUGAGGUGAGACUCUUGGUAAUGAUAUCCCAGAGCAGGAUUUAUCAGGCAUCUCUCUGAGUCCUGAUUCUGUUCCCAUUUGAUUUGAAUCCGCAUGUCCAUGUACUUUGGAGGGCAACCUGGGGCGCCCGUUGUCCGUCUGCUGACACCACGUUGGUCUUUCCCUCUCCCAUCCCCUGCAUUUUGACCACACAUGUCAAGGUUCAUUUGCUGCUUGUUUGCAAAGUGCGCACCCCCUAGCCAGCUCCUCUGUGUUUGUGUGGUUGAGGAUUUGUUACCUGGUGCAUCUUUGGCUACGAGUUUUUCAUGUCUGGAUUUAUUUCCUAUUUCUUUGUGACCUCAUGCCCUUGCUUCAGUCAUUUUCACCUGUGGCCCAGAACUCAACCACGGUGCCUCCUUGUCACCUGUGCCACCCCGAGGAAUGGAGGCCACUGUGGGGGAGGGGGCAGGUGUUCCCAAAGAUAAGGAGGGGAGGGAACCUGGAGUGCGCCCGCCAGUGGGGAGAUGCCACGGCGCCACGGCAAGCAGUGCGGGUUUGACCACUGACUUCUGUCGCCUGCAUCACCGUACGUUGGCUUGGAAUAAAAGUGCCAAGCAACAGUGCUUUUCUUUCAGAUGUGUCACUGCCGUGAUCCGAUUCACUUUGUGCAGGAGAAAUCUGCAACCCCCUUGGGCCUCGUUGUUCUACGGUGGCCGGUGGCCGUUGUGAUGUUCGGACGGGAUCCUCAGGGUUGCUGCACAUUUUCUCCUGAACAUCAUGUCUCCACUUUGCCAUCUGGAUGAUGGGCAUGCUCCCAACAGAACCUGCCACAGAGGGUCACCCAACGGAUGGAAUAAGCUAACCUUUGUUCAGGACUGGGAACAGUGCUUGGAAUGCAGACACCGCUCUCCUCCCAGAGAGGAAGAGAGUGUGGCCCUCUGCACUGGGGAAUGUGAAGCAGAUCCAAGCCUUUCAACUCGAAAAUGCCCGCACGGUGCAUUGAAGUUUAUUCAGGCUUCCCCUUCCUCCAGUCUUCAGGACACAGACCGACGAGAAGGGAGAACUGAAGACAGAGUGCAGGAAAGGACCCAACCCAGUGGGGACUGCUUGGCAGGCACCUGGCAAGGAGUCUGGGGCUACCUGUGAGCAGAGCUGGGCAGCAGGUUCAAUGGAGCGGUGUGGCAAGGCUGAGGGGCAGAAGUGGCCCAGAGACUGGGGCAGCACUGUAGGUGAUUAAGCAAAUGCUGAGAGCAAAGACCAGUUGGAAAAUCAGAGCCAAGGGGAGAUUUCAGAUGGGAGCUUGGCCACCUGGUGGAGAUGGCAGCCACAGUGUUUGGAGUGUCUGCCUGUUGAGAUGAAGAGAACGAUGAGGAAGCAGUGUUAGGCCGCCCCUUUCUAACCAACAAGUUCUCCACCUUCCAUUGUCUGCUUCCUUUCCUGGGCACCGCUGGUGGUGGGUUUUGAUAAUGUGGUUUGGGCUCUGAAGCCUAUCAUAGUAGAUUUUCAAUUCCAUAAAAAACAGCUGUCCAUCCCAGAUUGACACACAAAUAGGGCACCUAAUCCCGGAGAAUACAGUGGCCUGGGUGUGGUCAGUAGUAGCCUCUGGUCCUCUGAGCACAUGGUGAAGGCAGACGUCCGGAUAGUCACCUGCCUGUGUCAGCUAAGAGCCCUCACCACAUUCUGAACUCUAAUGUGAACGAAGUGUACGUGUGAUGGAUUUGGGUUGAAAAGGUAUCAGGGAAAAGGGAGGGGAGGAUCUUUUGCUGGGUUUGAAUCUACUGGCUGAAAUGUGAUGGCAAACUGUGUCACUGGGGAAGGUGUGGAGAUGUGAGGAGAACCCCGUAUGGCAGACUUAGGCUCAGGGGGCAGUCAGGGAAGGACCCCUUCCCAAGGCUGGGAACAAAACAAAAACUACAGCACAUUCAAGGAUGAGAGAGAGACAGAGAGAGAGACAGAGAGGUCUUCUGUCUUCUGGUUCACUCCCCAAAUGCCCUUAGCAGCUAGAGUAGUGCUGAGUUGAAGCCAGAGCCAGGAAUUCAGUCCACAUCCCCAGCCUACGUGUCAGGAACCCAGUUACUUAAGCCAUCGCUGCUGACUCCCUGUGCUCAUUGACAGGACGCUGGAGUCGGGAGCGGAGCUGAG